UGGGAGUUCCCUGGGGCCCAGCUCCCCAACCUCCCUGCUGCGAGCAGAAGCCAGCAAUUGUCUGGGCGGACACCCAGCAACAAGGAGAGGAUCGUCUGUGGGGGAGAACAGAAAAUUUUUCUCAUCCCUGAUGAUGGUGCUGCAGUUUAUCUCAGUCUGUAUGGUUGCAUGACAGUUUCCUCUGUCCUAAUGAGACCCACAGUUGGACUUGAGACAUUAUUGGAGAUCUCUCUCUCUCUCUCUCUCUCUGAACUGGUCAGACAGCAUAUUAUUAUAAAACUUAACCUGUAAAAUAUGUCCUUUAUCUCACUGAUGUUAUCACUUGCUUCUCUGGACAUGAUGAUGUAAGGGACUACAUUCAGCUCAAACUCUUUCAUUGAAUCCUUGUUCUUCUGCAAUAAUACCAGUACUUCAGAGGGACCCAGCUGUGUUUCCCUUCAUAAAGAGAGAAAGACAGACAAUGGAGAAUAAACUUUUGACAGAAGAAUUAUAAGAGGGAGCCUAAUCCUAUGGAACAGGAAAAUACAGUGGAAUGAAAAGAAAUUAACUCAUAACAACUCCUGGGUGUUUUCUAGACUGAAAAACUCAGACCAAGACAAAGGCAAGACAAGGAUUGAAUAGUAAUGGAUGUAAUAAUGGUCACAGUGUAAGAAUCCACUUCUAUCCAGGGCGUACUACAGUCACUACAGAGUGUGCAAUCGUUAUUCUACUGCCACAACAUGGCUAAAACACUUAGCCAAAUUCCAAAAAUAUAUAGGGAUUCAGAGCCACUUAGUCCCAUGCCUGGAGCUUUUUCAGACAGUGCUUUCAGCUCUUGGCAUAUCUGAUGUGCGAAGCCACUUCGAAUAGGAAUCGCGUCAUUACAGAAGCAGCUCCCCUGCUCUCCUCUCCUCUCCUCUCUGAGUUUUCUUUUGUGUAUGUUCAUACUGCUUGCUUCUGGGUUUUCCUUCUGGCCAAUGGCUUCCUAGAGCCAGCCAGCAAAACAUAGCUUGCUGCCUUAAAACUGGCUUCCCCACUAUUUGCAUCUGUAGAAGGCAGCUUCCUCUUUGCAUCUCAAAAGUUUGCCUCUCAAAAGCUUGACCGGCAGCUGCUCUUGCUGUAUCCAGAAAAAGUCGCUGAAAUACAGGAUUUUUUUUAGCCAUGGACAUAAAUUGGGCUAAGCUUAAAUUUGGAAGGAAAAAUCCAAGUUGUGUGUGAAGUGCUCCCAAAGAUUUUGCACAGACUUAACGAGAAUCUGGCAGAUGUACAAAUGCACACACUCCCUUCCAGCGGAGAUAAAAGCACCAUGUGAAAAAGCUCCUGGUGAAUGCUUUGGAUCAACAUUGCUACAAAUGUCUAGUUAAUUGACACUGGAGAAAACAAACACAGUAAGAUGUGCUACUUGCCACGUCCCCAUAAACUGGAGGGAAGUGGGUUCAUUAAAAAAAAAAAAAAAACUUGCGACAAAUUGCUCCACAGAUCCACAGAUUGAUGCACAAAUUGCUCCACAUAUCACUAUCAUAGUUAGGUGUGGGCAAGAGGGCUAGUAAACAAGUGUGGGCUAGUAAACGUGUGGGCUAGUAAACAAGUGAUGUGGACUAAUAACUUAUUAACAAGGCUGGCAAACACGUUGAAUCAAAACUAAUUAUAGACAUUCUAAAGGUUUUUUUGUCUUCAUUUGCAAAACAAAGUUCAACUGGCUGAAACCACCAUAGUUCCAUCAGUACAGAACUUUGCCAAAUGUCCCCAGGAGAAGACGAGCCAGUCUUGUCACCUAUGUGUAUGAUAUCUAGCUGUUGCCAAUAGGCCUGCUGUAUUUCUUUAGAAUCAUCUUGUGCGUAUCACUAGCGAGAGAGGAAUUCUGCAUGCACAUGAUUGCUGCACACACAUAUGCCUUUUGGUUGGAUCCAAUAACUAGGUUUGUAUAUGGAAGUUUCUGGCCUUAUCUGGCAGCCAGGCAUAUGCAUUUACAGCCUUGGUCAGAUCAUAGGCAAUUGUCAGUGCUGAACCUCUGUUCAAGAAUGAAAGCAUAAGGGGCUGGAUUCAGUCAUCCCAUUCUCCUCUCCCCCGCCACCAAAAAAGAAUGGCUAUAUCAUCAAUGUCCUAUGCAUUGGCUAUUUAUGCAUACAGCUGAAUAAUGAUUUAUAUCUCUUUUGUUGUAAAAUAGUCUUAUUGUUAAUAUUACUGAAUGAAUUGAAAUAUAGAAUGGGAGAUAUAUUAUUUGUAUUUGGUUUACAUACAGCACAGCAUUUUCUUACCGCCCAUGCUAUUGCACACAACAUGGCCAUAGUGUUAUACAACGGCAUCUGCACAGUUUUAGGCAUUUGCACAACAGUGAUCUAGCACAACUAUGGCUUUCUUUUAAUGUACACAGCAGCGCCCACAGGAUACUGCCCUAUAUGUGUUCAGUUGUUCCUAGGAUAUGCUUUUGACAUUUGCUCUAAUUUUACUAGGAUAGUGAUCUACAUGCAAAUUUUUGCAUGUGCUAUGCUUUAAAAAUCUAGUUUAUAAAUUCACUUAUUUCUUCACCCCAUUCUUGAACAAUGUUUUUGGGUUGCUAUUUAUUACCUUUCCUUUACUGUAUGCUUUAAAGGAGGCCUCUUAUGGAAGAGCCUGACACAGAACAUUUGGCAGAGUUUUUGUUCAUAUUUGUAACUUAUUCUACAAUGAUUUUAGAAUACCCGUAUACAAAAGCAUACUGAAUACUAUUGUAUUGUUAAAUUUCUGUGUCACUUUUCAUUUAAAAACAAAACAAAACACCAAGGCAUUUUGCAAUGUAUUGAAAACAAUAAAAUCUAUAAAAAUUAAAAAAAUUAAAUACAAAAACAAUUAAAAAGAAAUGGCACACAGAAGCAAAACCCAUAACAAAUUCCACAUAAAAAGCCAGGUUUUAACUUGCCUCUUAAAAGCAGUGAAGAACGUUGAGGAACAGAUGCUCAUUGGGAGAGCAUCUAGAGUCUGGGGACAGUGACCAAGAAGGCCAUGUCAUGAACAUGUCAAUCAAGCCUCCUUCAGUGUUGGCACACAGAACAAAGCCCCCCUCUAAUGAUCUUCUCAGGUGGGCAGACGUCUUUGGGAGCAGAUGGUCCUUCAGGUAUCCAGGGCCCAAACCAUUACAGUCUGUAAAUUGCACUGAAAAAAACUGAAAAUUGCACUUUCAGUUGGGCCCAGAAACAAAUUGGCAGCCAGUGCAGCUCUUUUUCAAAAUCACCAUAAUAUAUUCCCAGUGGGCAGCUUCAGGGAAAACCUUAGUUGCCAGAUUUUGCACUCACUACAGUUUUUGACUUUUUAUGAAGGGCAGCCCCACGUAGAACACACUGCAGUAUCUCAUUUGUGAGGUGCAAAACAUGUAUUCCUUAGGACAAUAUUAUGGAAGGUUUUUAAAAUGUAAACAAUAUAAAAAGGAGCCACAGAUUAAGUCUAGAACACUACUGAAAUAAAAAUGGGAUAUCUUCCUACAAAUCUUGAGUGACUUGCUUACUCUAGCAUAGACAUAUUGGCUCACAUGUUCUGCCAUCUAAUGUGGGUGGGGCGAUCCACCUGCCCAGCUGUGGGCUCCCAGUGAAUCCACCCAUGUUGUUGUAGGCAGGCUCCUGGUGAGGUGCCAAUGCUGUUGGGAAUUUUCACUUGAGGGCAGAUACUUCAAGUAGCCUGCCUGUGCACUGGAAGUGCUAGCUGGAUCAGAAACACAUCAGCUGAGAGCCUAGAUUUUGAACUAGGUAGUGUUCUGCCAGCAGAAAAUUAGAUAGAAUCAAGGCAUAAAUGUCUAAAGAAAACUACAUGGUGUGUUGGGUCCCUGUAACCAACAUUAUCUUCUGAUUUGUAAAUAGAUUUCUUUCUGUGUAUAAUAUAGUUUUCAUCUUCAUUUUUUGUUUCCUCUAUCUCUGAAUACUAUAGAUCAAUUGUUAUUUCUUUAAAUGUUUUUAAGAUGAAAAGCUUCUAAAGUGUUGCAUGCAGAAUAUAUAUGUCUUCUUUCUUUUCAGGACAUCUUUAAAUACUCUUGUUAAGAGUUAAUUCACAGUUAUGAAUAUGUGAUUAUGUACUGAAGGCAGCAUGCCAUUUUAAUUUUAAUAGUGUG